rnacentral:rRNA from 1 species
CGGUUGAUCCUGCCGGAGGCUACUGCUAUCGGGAUUCGAUUAAGCCAUGCGAGUCGAGAGGGUUCGGCCCUCGGCUGACGGCUCAGUAACACGUGGAUAACCUGCCCUCAGGUAGGGGACAAUCUCGGGAAACUGAGGAUAAUACCCUAUAAACAUCCUUUGCUGGAAUGCUUGGAUGUUCAAAGGCAACGCCUGAGGAUGGGUCUGCGGCCUAUCAGGUUGUAGUGGGUGUAACGGACCCACUAGCCCGCGACGGGUACGGGCCUUGAAAGAGGUAGCCCGGAGAUGGACUCUGAGACACGAGUCCAGGCCCUACGGGGCGCAGCAGGCGCGAAAACUUCGCAAUGCGGGAAACCGUGACGAGGGAAUCCCGAGUGCUCAUACUAUGUAUGGGCUUUUCUUAUGUGUAAAAAGCAUGAGGAAUAAGGGCUGGGUAAGACCGGUGCCAGCCGCCGCGGUAAUACCGGCAGCUCUAGUGGUAGCCACUUUUAUUGGGCCUAAAGCGUCCGUAGCCGGUCAGGUAAAUCCUUGGGUAAAUCGUACAGCUCAACUGUGCGGCUUCCGGGGAGACUGCCCGACUUGGGACCGGGAGAGGUUGGAGGUACUCCUGGGGUAGGGGUGAAAU